CAUUAACUCAGCUAAUCUUAUCUAAGGAGGAGAGCUGAAAGCAGAAGCUGCAGGUGGUACCUGUUUUCUGCCAGAUGCUAUCUACAAGAAGACCAACACGUUCCUGUCGUGCACACGGCUGUCGUCGCCAUUUCUCGAUGCCUUCUAAAUCCAGUGGCAAUGUCAUAAUGGUUCGUUUCGAAAGUCAAUCUCCUAGCAAUGUCAAAGAGGCUCUCUAACAACUGGGUGGCAUUUAACUGCACUGACAAACAACUUGAUUUAUUACAAGGAAGACAACAGUAGUUGAUGGCAGAAUAAAUCUGCCUUUACGGUAGAAGCAUGAACUACAACGACUGUCAAGUAUUAACUUUGUUGAAAUUAAAAAUAGAAAACUUGAAGAAAAAA